rnacentral:rRNA from 1 species
UACGAAGGGGCUAGCGUUGUUCGGAAUCACUGGGCGUAAAGCGCACGUAGGCGGAUCUUUAAGUCAGGGGUGAAAUCCCGAGGCUCAACCUCGGAACUGCCUUUGAUACUGAAGAUCUUGAGUUCGGGAGAGGUGAGUGGAACUGCGAGUGUAGAGGUGAAAUUCGUAGAUAUUCGCAAGAACACCAGUGGCGAAGGCGGCUCACUGGCCCGAUACUGACGCUGAGGCACGAAAGCGUGGGGAGCAAACAGG